rnacentral:rRNA from 1 species
ACGAACGCUGGCGGCAGGCCUAACACAUGCAAGUCGAGCGAGGACUUCGGUCCUAGCGGCGGACGGGUGAGUAACGCGUGGGAACGUGCCCUUUGCUUCGGAAUAGCCCUGGGAAACUGGGAGUAAUACCGGAUGAGCCCUUUGGGGGAAAGAUUUAUCGGCGAAGGAUCGGCCCGCGUUGGAUUAGGUAGUUGGUGGGGUAAUGGCCUACCAAGCCGACGAUCCAUAGCUGGUUUGAGAGGAUGAUCAGCCACACUGGGACUGAGACACGGCCCAGACUCCUACGGGAGGCAGCAGUGGGGAAUCUUAGACAAUGGGGGAAACCCUGAUCUAGCCAUGCCGCGUGAGCGAUGAAGGCCUUAGGGUUGUAAAGCUCUUUCAGCUGGGAAGAUAAUGACGGUACCAGCAGAAGAAGCCCCGGCUAACUCCGU